rnacentral:rRNA from 1 species
GAGCAACUUGCCCGUUUCUGGGGGAUAACCGGUGGAAACGCCGACUAAUACCCCAUGGUGAUGUUAGGGGGGCAUCUCCUUACAUCUAAAGAAUAUCGGAAACGGAUAGGCUCGCGUGACAUUAGCUAGAUGGCGGGGUAACGGCCCACCAUGGCGACGAUGUCUAGGGGUUCUGAGAGGAAGGUCCCCCACACUGGAACUGAGACACGGUCCAGACUCCUACGGGAGGCAGCAGUGAGGAAUAUUGGUCAAUGGUCGGAAGACUGAACCAGCCAUGCCGCGUGAAGGUGACGGCCCUAUGGGUCUUAAACUUCUUUUGUAAGGGAGCAAUAAGGUUUACGUGUAGGCCGAUGAGAGUACCUUACGAAUAAGCAUCGGCUAACUCCGUG